rnacentral:lncRNA from 1 species
AGAGGAGCGCUGUUUCUGGAGGAGUUAGGGGAAGGAGGCUGCCUGGUAAGCCAGGAAAGGGGCUUCUGGCCGUUCUGUUGGAGCGCCUCUGACUGACUUCCCCCAUGUGUCCGUGUGGCCACACCGUGCUACUUUCAGAGGCAGUGGGCUUUUCGCUAAGGGAUAAAAAGAAGUAAAACCUUGCCUUUAGCGCAGCUCUCCUUCACUGGGCAGAUUGCUCUCCCUCCCCACUCUCCCAGGCCCAAAUUGGAUCUCAGCGCCUGGGAGCUCCAACUUUAGCAAGUGCGAAAUCCUGUCUUCGGUUUUGGAAUUUUCAUCCGCACAGACUAUAUCAGCCACGGAUAGGAUAUGUGAGAAUACCAGCAUGUCAAGGCUGGGAAUCAUCCUUAGGCAUCACCUAGCCAGUCCUGCCUCUCAUUUUAAGGCUCUGCUUUUAGGGAAUCUGACUUAAGACGGAAAACUUGCUGAAUAAAUUAAUGAAGACCCAGGAUUUUUCUCUGGAGAAUGAAAACUGACAGUACAUUUGCUUCAGCUUUGGUCACCUGUACCUACAUUAAGGAGGACCAUGUUACUUCUGGGGUAGGCUCACCCGUGAAAGCACAGGCUACUGUUAGAACUUUGCCUUCAUCAAUGCUGAUAUCAGAUGGAAGAGCUUCAAUUUUAGGCGGAAUUCCUUUAUGGAACAAUGACAAAAAAAAGGUCUUAGAAUCACUGAAAAAAAUAAAGAUUUGCUUUCUACUGAA